rnacentral:snRNA from 1 species
AAGUGCCUGCACCUCUGUCACAUUAAAAUUGGAAUGAUACGGAGAAGAUUAGCAUAACCCCUGCACAAAUGUGAGAUAUAUGGUAUUUCUUU